UUUACGACUCUGCCUAUCUUUGUGUGGUUAACCAUGUUUGAUAACGUAUGUUGAGGUCCAAGAUCCUCAGGCCUAUAUAAACAUCCUUUGCCAGUCCAUGAUCUUAUCAGAACAUCAUCUUCAUAUCUUCAACAAUAUCAAGGCACAGAUAUGGCAGGAAAUUCUCUGAAGUCUAUUUUGGUGAGCCUCUUCAUCUUCGCCAUGGUACUAUCUCCAAUAAUACCAUCAGCUGAAGCCGGCCGUCUGAAUCAUCGAGGCCUCGCUGGAACCUCCCGAACAAUAUGUCCAACUUGUGUCUGCUGCACACCUCCACCUCGAGGGUCCUGCUGCAACAAGUGCUGUGCUUCUCCUAUUCAAACUCAGUCUGCAACUGGGUCUCCAUGAAACUAUAUGUUCACGCUCCUCUUGCACUCGUGGAUACAGUAAUAGAUUAGCAUGAAUAAAAAUUCUCAGAGAAGAAGAAGAAGAAGUGCUGAAUAAAAAGGAAUAAUAUCUCUCUCGUUAAUUUGUAUUUUGUACUGCUUAAGAUUUCAUUUAAUCCCAAAUUAAGGAAUGGUUGGCUUGUUAA